rnacentral:rRNA from 1 species
AACGCUAGCUACAGGCUUAACACAUGCAAGUCGAGGGGAAACGACAUCGAAAGCUUGCUCUUGAUGGGCGUCGACCGGCGCACGGGUGAGUAACGCGUAUCCAACCUGCCCAUCACUUGGGGAUAACCUUGCGAAAGUAAGACUAAUACCCAAUGACGUCUCUAGAAGACAUCUGAAGGAGAUUAAAGAUUUAUCGGUGAUGGAUGGGGAUGCGUCUGAUUAGCUUGUUGGCGGGGUAACGGCCCACCAAGGCGACGAUCAGUAGGGGUUCUGAGAGGAAGGUCCCCCACAUUGGAACUGAGACACGGUCCAAACUCCUACGGGAGGCAGCAGUGAGGAAUAUUGGUCAAUGGGCGAGAGCCUGAACCAGCCAAGUAGCGUGCAGGAUGACGGCCCUAUGGGUUGUAAACUGCUUUUAUAAGGGAAUAAAGUGAGUCUCGUGAGACUUUUUGCAUGUACCUUAUGAAUAAGGACCGGCUAAUUCCGUGCCAGCAGCCGCGGUAAUACGGAAGGUCCGGGCGUUAUCCGGAUUUAUUGGGUUUAAAGGGAGCGUAGGCCGGAGAUUAAGCGUGUUGUGAAAUGUAGACGCUCAACGUCUGCACUGCAGCGCGAACUGGUUUCCUUGAGUACGCACAAAGUGGGCGGAAUUCGUGGUGUAGCGGUGAAAUGCUUAGAUAUCACGAAGAACUCCGAUUG